rnacentral:tRNA from 1 species
CGCGGCUUCUCCGACGUGAUCGCCGACAUGCCCGCCGUCGUCGCGCACGCGCGCGGCGAGCGCGUCGUCGAGGGCGUGUUCAACGCACGCGCCCGCGCC